AUGUGAAAUAUCCGACUGACGUCGGAUGUGAAAUAUUUGGCUGAAGCCAAAUGUGAAAUAUUCCGCAUUCGCGGAAUGUGAUAUAAUGU
rnacentral:misc_RNA from 1 species